rnacentral:rRNA from 1 species
CCUACGGGAGGCAGCAGUGAGGAAUAUUGGUCAAUGGACGAGAGUCUGAACCAGCCAAGUAGCGUGAAGGAUGACUGCCCUAUGGGUUGUAAACUUCUUUUAUAUGGGAAUAAAAUGUUCCACGUGUGGGAUUUUGUAUGUACCAUAUGAAUAAGGAUCGGCUAACUCCGUGCCAGCAGCCGCGGUAAUACGGAGGAUCCGAGCGUUAUCCGGAUUUAUUGGGUUUAAAGGGAGCGCAGGUGGAUUGUUAAGUCAGUUGUGAAAGUUUGCGGCUCAACCGUAAAAUUGCAGUUGAAACUGGCAGUCUUGAGUACAGUAGAGGUGGGCGGAAUGCGUGGUGUAGCGGUGAAAUGCUUAGAUAUCACGAAGAACUCCGAUUGCGAAGGCAGUUCACUGGACUGCAACUGACACUGAGGCUCGAAAGUGUGGGUAUCAAACAGGAUUAGAUACCCCUGUAGUC